rnacentral:lncRNA from 1 species
UCGUGGCGGGUCUAGGGGUGAGCCGGACAAGCUAGUCCGUUGACCAGGAUUGACGCGGGCCGCAUAAUCCCUGUCCAUUCUUUACGCGGGCCGCGUGGGAACCAGUUUCAGCAACUAUAUAAGGAACGCAUCGGAUUUCAAUUCAGUUCGUUCAUUUCUCAAUUCUCAAAUCACAAUUUCUGUAGUAGGCUUAUUAUACUCGGGUAUUAUACCCCUAAUUAGCGAAGCUCUGCCUCGUUGUAAGUAUCAUAACCCCUGGAUACGUAUUAGAUACUCUGCCCGAUUGAUCUAGGGUUCCGUAACGGCUGUCGUGGUUCUGCCCGACGUAGUCGUUGGAAUGCCGUCUCGGGGAGGAUUAUAACCAGGAAGCCACAAAGGAAAUACCUAAAAUAGCAAUGUAACACAAUGUGAAAGCCAAUUAGAAUAGAGCCAGCUCGAGAGCACUGACGGCUUGGAAGAACGUGGCUAUAAAAGUUACCUAAAAGACGAUGUUUUAAAUUCAAUAAAAUAAGGGUUAUCCCUAUAAACAUGUUGUAAUAAAAAUCUUGGGUUUUACCCAUGUGAUUAUAAAAAUAAAAUAUGGUGGUUUUACUCUG